GUGCUUAGCGGCGGACGGGUGAGUAACACGUAGGCAACCUGCCUGUAAGAUCGGGAUAACUACCGGAAACGGUAGCUAAGACCGGAUAGCUGGUUUCGGUGCAUGCCGGAAUCAUGAAACACGGGGCAACCUGUGGCUUACGGAUGGGCCUGCGGCGCAUUAGCUAGUUGGCGGGGUAACGGCCCACCAAGGCGACGAUGCGUAGCCGACCUGAGAGGGUGAUCGGCCACACUGGGACUGAGACACGGCCCAGACUCCUACGGGAGGCAGCAGUAGGGAAUCUUCCGCAAUGGGCGCAAGCCUGACGGAGCAACGCCGCGUGAGUGAUGAAGGUUUUCGGAUCGUAAAGCUCUGUUGCCAGGGAAGAACGUCGUGGAGAGUAACUGCUCUGCGAAUGACGGUACCUGAGAAGAAAGCCCCGGCUAACUAC
rnacentral:rRNA from 1 species